UACGUAGGGUGCAAGCGUUGUCCGGAAUUAUUGGGCGUAAAGAGCUCGUAGGCGGCUUGUCGCGUCGGCUGUGAAAACCUGGGGCUCAACUCCGGGCUUGCAGCCGAUACGGGCAAGCUAGAGUUCGGUAGGGGAGACUGGAAUUCCUGGUGUAGCGGUGAAAUGCGCAGAUAUCAGGAGGAACACCGGUGGCGAAGGCGGCUACCUGGCCCAACAUUGACGCUGAGACCCGAAAGCAUGGGGAUCAAACAGG
rnacentral:rRNA from 1 species